rnacentral:rRNA from 1 species
CCCGAUGAGGGGAGUGAAACAGUACCUGAAACCGGAUGCUUACAAGCAGUUGGAGCCUCUUUAGGGGGUGACAGCGUACCUCUUGCAUAAUGGGUCAGUGACUUAAUGUACCAUGCGAGCUUAAGCCGUUAGGUGUAGGCGCAGCGAAAGCGAGUCUGAAUAGGGCGACUGAGUAUGAUGGAUUAGACCCGAACCCCGGCGAUCUAGGCAUGGCCAGGUUGAAGGUGCAGUAACAUGCACUGGAGGACCGAACCGGUGAAUGUUGAAAAAUUCUCGGAUGAGCUGUGUUUAGGGGUGAAAGGCCAAUCAAGCCGGGAAAUAGCUGGUUCUCCGCGAAAUCUAUUGAGGUAGAGCGUCGGAUGUAUGCCGAUGGGGGUAGAGCACUGGAUGGGCUAGGGCUGCGCGAGCGGUACCAAACCUAACCAAACUCCGAAUACCAUCGAGUCUUAUCCGGCAGACAGACGGCGGGUGCUAAGGUCCGUCGUCAAAAGGGAAACAGCCCUAACCUACAGCUAAGGUCCCCAAGUCAUAUCUAAGUGGGAAAGCAUGUGGGAAUCCCAAAACAACCAGGAGGUUGGCUUAGAAGCAGCCAUCCUUUAAAGAAAGCGUAACAGCUCACUGGUCUAAACAAGGGUUCCUGCGGCGAAGAUGUAACGGGGCUAAAGAUAUGCACCGAAGCUUAGGGUUCAGAAUUUAUUCUGAGCGGUAGCGGAGCGUUCCGUAAGCGAGUGAAGGCGAAGGGUAACCGACGCUGGACGUAUCGGAAGUGCGAAUGCUGACAUGAGUAGCGACAAAGAGGGUGAGAUGCCCUCUCGCCGAAAGACCAAGGGUUCCUGCGCAACGCUAAUCGGCGCAGGGUUAGCCGGCCCCUAAGACGAGCCCGAAGGGGGUAGUCGAUGGGAACCACGUAAAUAUUCGUGGGCCUGAAGAUGUGUGACGGAUCGUGGAAGUUGUUUUCUCUUAUUGGAUUGAGAGGGCAGCCAAGCGGUUCCAGGAAAUAGCCUCUUCACUAUAGACCGUACCCGAAACCGACACAGGUGGUCAGGUAGAGUAUACCAAGGCGCUUGAGAGAAGUAUCCUGAAGGAACUCGGCAAAUUGCCUCCGUACCUUCGGAAGAAGGAGGCCCCAUAUCGACGCAAGUCUUUGUGGGGGGCACAGGCCAGGGGGUAGCGACUGUUUAGCAAAAACACAGCACUCUGCUAAGUCGGCUUCAAGACGACGUAUAGGGUGUGACGCCUGCCCGGUGCUCGAAGGUUAAGAGGAGGAGUGCAAGCUCCGAAUUGAAGCCCGAGUAAACGGCGGCCGUAACUAUAACGGUCCUAAGGUAGCGAAAUUCCUUGUCGGGUAAGUUCCGACCUGCACGAAUGGCAUAA